rnacentral:rRNA from 1 species
AAGACCUUGCGCUUUUGGAGCGGCCGAUGCCUGAUUAGCUUGUCGGUAAGGUAAAAGCUUACCAAGGCUUCGAUCAGUAGCUGGUCUGAGAGGACGGCCAGCCACACUGGGACUGAGACACGGCCCAGACUCCUACGGGAGGCAGCAGUGGGGAAUUUUGGACAAUGGGGGCAACCCUGAUCCAGCCAUGCCGCGUGAGUGAAGAAGGCCUUCGGGUUGUAAAGCUCUUUCAGCCGGAACGAAACGGUUACGGUUAAUACCCGUGACUACUGACGGUACCGGAAGAAGAAGCACCGGCUAACUACGUGCCAGCAGCCGCGGUAAUACGUAGGGUGCGAGCGUUAAUCGGAAUUACUGGGCGUAAAGCGUGCGCAGGUGGUUUUGUAAGUCAGAUGUGAAAGCCCCGGGCUCAACCUGGGAACU